UUGAAAAUAUAUUCACAUAGAAAGCAGUUAUUUUGAUUUGUAUUAAUAUUUCAAAAUUUUACUGUUUUUAUUGUAUUUUUGAUCAAAUAAAUAUACCUAUGGUGAGCAGACAAGACUGCUUUCAAAAACAUUAAAAACUCUGACUGACAAUAAACUUUUGAAUAAUAGUGUAUGUAAAACAAUCUGCAAUUCUGAAUGUUUCAAACAGAGCUACACUAGUAACGUGACCUCAGUAUGGUACAUCUUUCUAUCAUCUCAAAAACACUUCCAAUUUGAUCCAGUUUUGGGGAAAAUCUGCUUUUAUUGAAAGUUUAAUAAUAAAUAGUUAUAAAAACGUCUUAACAAUUAAUGAGACGAGAAGACACAAUGUCCACUGAAUAUGGAAGGUAUACAGUAUUUCUUUGCAAGGCUCAGUUAAAAAUACACAUUUUGGCAAACAUGUAUUCCAUGCAUACUGUACAUAAUUACAUACUAUAUACUGGAGAAAUAGAAGUAUGCUUCUAUGUUGUUUUGAACACCGUCUUCGCAUUGCACUGGAGCCGGUGUGUAUCGCCCUCUGUAGGGCACUUGAGGUACUGUUUCUCUUGUGGUUUGUAGAUGACUACUUCUGGUUACACUGAACAUUUCAUCAACAACUGGGAACAGGAAGGAGGAUUGAACGAGAGAAGGUGGCUUAUAGGUUGUGGUUGUAACAAAACCAUCUGUGGUAUGAAGGUGAGAAGCUCGUCUGUGGUGGGACGGGGUACCUGUGCUGUCCCCCCCAAAACAGCAGGGUCACGAGAGGGGCGUUCUGGCCGUCCUCCAAUCAGAUGUGAGAACAGCAGACAGUGACUCGUUCAGGUCUGCGGUGGUCAUUGCCAAAGAUGUGUUUAACUCUGGAGCCCCGACAUGCAGUGAUGCUCAGAUUGAGAGGAAGAAGCAGCAGGCUGUGGAGAGGCGGAGACUCAGGAUCCUGGCCAAUCAGAACCUCAGAGCUCCGGUCUGAUUCACUGUUGCUAUGAAGAUGCACAACACAACAGGUGCUGGAGACUAAAUGGACAAGACCUUAAUCCGCUUAGAAACUGAAUUCGACGCAGCAAAAGCAGAAGAAAGUGUUUGGUAUGUCAAAUUUGGCUGUAUCCCAACAUUAAAAAGCAGACCCAAAAUGAAGUUGACC